ACGAACGCUGGCGGCGUGCUUAACACAUGCCAGUCGAACGGAAAGGCCCUGCUUUUGUGGGGUGCUCGAGUGGCGAACGGGUGAGUAACACGUGAGUAACCUGCCCUUGACUUUGGGAUAACUUCAGGAAACUGGGGCUAAUACCGGAUAGGAGCUCCUGCUGCCUGGUGGGGGUUGGAAAGUUUCGGCGGUUGGGGAUGGACUCGCGGCUUAUCAGCUUGUUGGUGGGGUAGUGGCUUACCAAGGCUUUGACGGGUAGCCGGCCUGAGAGGGUGACCGGCCACAUUGGGACUGAGAUACGGCCCAGACUCCUACGGGAGGCAGCAGUGGGGAAUAUUGCACAAUGGGCGGAAGCCUGAUGCAGCAACGCCGCGUGCGGGAUGACGGCCUUCGGGUUGUAAACCGCUUUCGCCUGUGACGAAGCGUGAGUGACGGUAAUGGGUAAAGAAGCACCGGCUAACUACGUG
rnacentral:rRNA from 1 species